UGUGUGUGUGUGUGUGUGUGUGUGUGUGUGUGUGUGUGUGUGUGUGUGUGUGUGUGUGUGUGUGUGUGUGUGUGUGUGUGUGUGUGUGUGUGUGUGUGUGUGUGUGUGUGUGUGUGUGUGUGUGUGUGUGUGUGUGUGUGUGUGUGUGUGUGUGUUUGUGUGUGUGUGUGUGUGUGUGUGUGUGUGUGUGUGUGUGUGUGUGUGUGUGUGUGUGUGUGUGUGUGUGUGUGUGUGUGUGUGUGUGUGUGUGUGUGUGUGUGUGUGUGUGUGUGUGUGUGUGUGUGUGUGUGUGUGUGUGUGUGUGUGUGUGUGUGUGUGUGUGUGUGUGUGUGUGUGUGUGUGAGUUUGUAAAACCUACCAACCGGGGAAAAUCGUAUGAAUACACACCAACAAACCGGGGAACACCUACCAACCGGGGAAUUCCCCGGUUGGUUUUAGGCGAAAAUCUCUAAUCUACGUGUAUGAAAUACCAAACUGUCAAUUUAAAUUAGAAAUCCAACGCCUUCCCCGAUUAGCGGGUUUGUGGCAUGCACAAAAUAUACACAAAUAUUGACCAAAUUACAAUCGAGUGUGUAUCCAGGCUUAUAACAGUUCCCCGGUUGCGCUGUUUAAAAAUCAUACACUCGGUAUUUAUAUCAUUUAGUGAAAGUAAGUUGGAAAAAUGGAGUUUCGAGCGAACAAACGCAUUAAACUAAGGUAAGCUUUUUAAUUAUGUUUACAACUUUCAAUUGCUAUUAAAAAGCGUUUUUAUGUAAACUUUAAAGUAAUACUGGAAGACGAAUUCUAAAGAUCGAUUUAUAUUAAUAUCAUUUGAUUACAAAGCUUGUUUUACGGUACAUAUUUCACGAAUAUAUUUUUUAAAUAAACGUAAAACAAUGUAGAGCUCUAGACAGUUUUUCGUUAUAUAUAUAUAACGAAAACUGCCUAGAGCUCUACAGUGUUUUACGUUAUAUAUAUAUAUAUAGUGGAGCUAUCCUACUCACCCCGGCGUCGGCGUUAGCGUGAGCGUGAGCGUUGGAAUGUUAAAGUUUGCGUACCACCUCAAAUAUUGUCUAUGUCCCUUGACAUAUUGCUUUUAUAUUUAGCAUACUUCUUUACCAACAUGACCCCAAUCUAUAAACAAGAGCAGACAACUGUAACAAGCAUUUUGUAAGAAUUAUGGCCCCUUUUCCCACUUAAAAUAUGCAUAUUAUUGAUAAAUCUUUGUUAAAGUUUACGUACCACCGCAAUUACUUUCUAUGUCCCUUGACAUAUUGCUUUUAUAUUUUGCAUACUUCUUUACCAACAUAACCCCAAUCGAUAAACAAGAGCAGACAACUGUAACAAGCAUUUUGUAAGAAUCAUGGCCCCUUUUCCACUUAGAAUAUGCAUAUUAUUGAUAAAUCUUUAUUAAAGUUGCGUACCACCUCAAAUAUUUUCUUUGUCCCUUGACAUAAGGUUUCAUAUUUUGCAUACUUCUUUACCAACAUGACCCCAAUCUAUAAACAAGAGCAGACAACUGUAAAAAGCAUUUUGUAAGAAUUAUGGCCCCUUUUUUCACUUAGAAUAUGCAUACUAUUGGUUAUUCUAUGUUAAAGUUUGCGUACCACCUUAAAUAUUUUCUUUGUCCCUUGACAUAUUGCAUUCAUAUUUUGCAUACUUCUUUACCAACAUGACCCCAAUCUAUAAACAAGAGCAGACUACUGUAAACAACAUUUUGUAAGAAUUAUGGCCCCUUUUUUCACUUAGAAUAUGCAUAUUAUUAAUAAUUCUUUGUUAAAGUUUGCUUACCACCUCAAAUAUUUUAAUUGUCCCUUGACAUGCUGCUUUCAUAUUUUGCAUACUUCUUGACCAACAUGACCCCAACUUGAAAUACAAUCUUAUUAGUUUGUUUUAUAUCUUUACAAAUGUUCAAUACAUAUGUUUUGUGGAAACCUGAACUCAGAAUCGUCUAUAAUUAACCAUUUCUUUAAAACAUAAGCGAUCAAUAUGUUUGGCUUAAACUUAUUUAUUACGACAUAGUAACAUAUUCACAAGUAACAUGGCAUUGACAUAGGAUCCAUAUGUUUCAAUUAUGGUCCUCUUCCAGUUAGAAUAUGACUAUAGUACCUUGACCUUAUUGAAUAUGAACAAUUUCCCCAUGGUGGCUUACUUUAUACUGUCAAGCACUUGAAUAGUCGAGCGCGCUGUUUUCUGACAGCUCUUGUUGUUUUUCUCAUCGACAUUUCCAUUUUAACAUUUAGUAGCCAAAAGGGUCCAAGUCCCCUUGAUCUCGCAAGAACGUACUGUCAGAAUUACGUUGAUCCACCAGGUUUUGAAGUAAAAACCGUCAAUGAUGUCAUAGGCGAAGGAGUCUUUGCCACUUAGCCUUUUAAAAAAGGAGACUUUCUUCUCGAAUACAAAGGGGAUCUGAUAACACGAGUAAAACAUGCAAUUAGAAAAGGAGUAUGAACAGGAGGGUCAAGGCAGCUUCAUUUACUUUUUUAAAUACAGAGACAAAUCUUGCUGCAUUGACGCUACCAACGAUAUAUUCCACGAGGGUCGAAUGAUAAAUGAUGCCGAAAAUGGAGACGCAAAACAAAAUUGUGUAAUGAAAAUAGUUGAAGUCAACCAAACUCCCCAUCUAUGCACUUUCGCCGACAGAGACAUUGCAAUUGGCGAGGAACUCCGAUAUGAUUAUGGAGUACCAACACUUCCAUGGAGAAAGGCAACACAAUGACUACUAGAUCUACGGACAGCCAGGAACCAGGACAAACAACAUCAAUACACACGGAAGAAGUCAAUGAGACGAAAUGUACGGAACAAAAAAGGGCAACACAAUGACUACUAGAUCUACGGACAGCCAGGAACCAGGACAAACAACCCCCGUGCACACGGAAGAAGUCGAUGAGACGAAAAGAGUACUUCAAAUACCAGGAGAACAUAACAAGCAGCCAACAAUCAAUGGAGUGAAAACGAAAAAGGAGCUGUUCACAGACACUUUGAUCGUUUUUUGAUAAUGGGUAAAUUACCAGAGAAAAAAGAAAUACUUGCAUGAAUUGAAAGUGAGAAUGACCUUCGCAACAGAAGUUGGAAAAAUGUCAAAGACUUUUGCAGAAAUUUUAUUGAAACAAAAAAGCGACGGGGACUUUUAACUUAAAAAAAUAUUACACAUAUAAUGCACGUUUAGGAGAAUACGUUAAAGGAUGAAGUUGCCACAUUUUUUUGUGUUUUCUUGUUCUAUAUACUCUUUUCGAAAACGAUAUAUGUGUGCUUAUUGUAUUUGAAUGUUUUAUUAAUACGGUUCUGCCAAAAACGAUAUUUGUUCAUAAUCUUAUCGCCGAACAAAUUAGGAUUGGUAUAUAGUUCGGCCAAUGAGUGUUUCUUUGUACUUUCUAUUACGAGUUUCUACGAGUUACUCACUAUACAAGUUAUUUUUUACCCUAAAUUUGUUGAAUAUGAAUGAAUAUAGCAAACAUGAUAACAAAUCAAUCUAGAAGGCUAAACGUUCAGAGAAGGCACACAAAAAAUUCAGUCGGAUAAAAUUUACAUUUUAAAUAAAAUAAAAAAACUACUGCUAAACUACUGCUAUAAUAUGAAGAAUACAAAUGAAUAUUUUGUCAAUUUUACAAAAUUUGUUUUGAAUGACAGGUGUCUGACUUGUAGUUGAGUACUUAAUAGUUAUUUUAAAGUAAACAUUUACCAAAAUGUAACUUAUUGCGUAAAUAUCGCACUAGAAUUGAUUAAAUAGUUGUUAAAUAUUACAAUAAUUUCCUACACAGAUUUUUGUGCAUUUGUUUUGCGUGUAGAUAUUCACAUUAGCUAUCAAUUCACAUAUUUGCUUUGUGUAUAUAAUUGGUAUGUUUAUAUAUAUUUUCAUAUCAAAAUUGCUUGAUCUACAAAAAUUCGCGAGGAGUUAUGCAUUUUUUCCCAUGUUUUUAUUGAAGUUUAUAAUUCAACGACGAUGAAAAUUACUAAGAUGCCAGAUUUAGUUAUGUUUUUUUUCUCAUUUAUGGUUAAAGAUCAAUUAACAUACCCAUUUCCCAGACUAAGAUAUUGUUAAAACAAUUUAUCGCGUUUGCGACUGACCUCUUUUAUGCAUUCUAACACAAGCUAUUUACUUGUUUUUUCGAAUACUCUUCAUAUACACACACUUAGAUUACCUAGAACACAACAUAUUUGAAACAUAUAUUUAUAUGUGAUGUGUAAAUGCAGGCACAAAGCUAAUAAUUAAUAAUGUUUAUACACUUUGCGAUAUGAUGCUAUACUGUCGGUUGUUUUAAGUGAUUAGUCAUUAUGUUAACCAUGUUAUCUGCCAUCUGAAAUGUAAUUAAGUGUUUUGACAUGUAUGCGAAAUUGAUCUUGUUCGAUUUGGUUCUGUAUAUUCAGAAUUGAGUCACACUGUUAUAAUUUUCCUGUUGGUACAUAUUAUUUUUAAGUUGGCACCAACAAGGGUUUAACAAUUGAUCCACAUGUGCACUCCCAGUAAGUAUAUAUACUAUAAUGUAAGUGAUUCAAAAUAAUAUUAAACUACGUGUUUGAUAA